UCUCUGGAGGAUUAGUGGUCAGGCCACGGCACUCUCGCCCGCAUGGCCCGGGUUCGAUUCCCAGCCAGGGAA